GCCAGCCAUGUGCCUCGGCCUCCUGUGCUGUGCGGCCCUUUUUUUCUGGGGAGCAGGCUCCAUGGACACUGAGGUCACCCAGAGUCCAAGUCAUCUGAUCAAAGGAAAAGACGAGAAAGCAAAGAUGGAUUGUGUUCCCAAAGAAGGACAUGCUUACGUUUACUGGUAUCGCAAGAAGCUGGAAGAAGCAUUUGAAUUUUUGGUUUACUUUCAGAAUGAAGACCCUAUGGAAGAAACAGCUGUGUUUAAACAGCGAUUUUCAGCUGAGUGCCCCAAAAACUCACCCUGCAGCCUGGAAAUCAAGUCCACCGAGGCAGCGGACUCAGCUCUGUAUUUCUGUGCCAGCAGCCAGUCCACAGUGCAGCACAUCAGCUCUUCCUAG